AAGAAAUUUAGUAGCUUAGAAACUUUCCUCAAAUUUGGACGCUAGAGGGAAGAGGAGCUAAUAGCGAAACCGACUAAAUAGUCG
rnacentral:ncRNA from 2 species